rnacentral:lncRNA from 10 species
AAGCACUCUAGCAAGGGACUCCGGCCUUGCGGAGAAUCCCUGUUUCCUUUUAAUUCUUCCUUUUUACUCAAUAAAGCCCUGUCUUACUCACCAUUCAAAUUGUCUGUGAGCCUGAACUUUCAUGGCUGUGGGACAAAGAACCCCGACUUUAGUUGAACUAUGGAAAAAUCCUGCAACAGCACAAAGCAAGACCAAGUGCCGCCAUCUCUGUAGAAUAGGCAAAGCGGCUGAGAUCUUUGAACUCCCUUUGAACUUUGAGAAUGGUGACUGGAAGAUGACAAUUCAUGUUGUUUUCAGGAAAGCUAUGACCGAGAAACCAAGGAACUCACUAUCUUGUCCUCUUGGAUGCCAGCUAUAAAUUGAAUCAAGUUGGACACCGGAAUUUUGACCACUUUCCACCUUUCUAUCGUGGUCAGGUUUCUUCAUGAGAAGAGGAGAUUCGGUCACAGGCAUGUACAGAAGAAGACUGUGUGAAGACACAGAAGAAGUUAUCUACAAACCAACGAGAGAGGCUUCAGAAGAAACCAACAUUGUUGACACCCUGAUCUUGGAUUUCUAGACUCAGGAAUUAUGAGAAAAUAAAUUUUUAUUGUUUAAGCCACC